CCUACGGGAGGCAGCAGUGAGGAAUAUUGGACAAUGGACGAAAGUCUGAUCCAGCUAUGCCGCGUGCAGGAUGACGGCCCUAUGGGUUGUAAACUGCUUUUAUACAGGAAGAAAAACUCCGACAUGUCGGAACUUGACGGUACUGUAAGAAUAAGGAUCGGCUAACUCCGUGCCAGCAGCCGCGGUAAUACGGAGGAUCCAAGCGUUAUCCGGAAUCAUUGGGUUUAAAGGGUCCGUAGGCGGUUUUUUAAGUCAGAGGUGAAAUCCUGCAGCUCAACUGUAGAAUUGCCUUUGAUACUGAAAGACUUGAGUUAUUGUGAAGUGGUUAGAAUGUGUGGUGUAGCGGUGAAAUGCAUAGAUAUUACACAGAAUACCAAUUGCGAAGGCAGAUCACUAACAAUAUACUGACGCUCAGGGACGAAAGCGUGGGUAGCGAACAGGAUUAGAUACCCUGGUAGUCCACGCCGUAAACGAUGGAUACUAGCUGUAUGUCUACUUCAGGUAGAUGUGUGGCUAAGCGAAAGUGAUAAGUAUCCCACCUGGGGAGUACGAUCGCAAGAUUGAAACUCAAAGGAAUUGACGG
rnacentral:rRNA from 1 species